CCAAAACCUAAAUCAUUACCGCAGAAGAAAUAAAGGGUAAAUCUUUUGAUAUUUUGGCAUCUGAAAUCUCUCCACUUCAUCUCAUCCCGCAAAGUUGCCCAUUGCAUCGUUUGGCGCCGCCGCAAGAUCAGUUUUCCUAUCAAGUGCAACUCGAACGCUGCGGCUCGGCUCGCCCCACAAUUUAGAGCUGCACCCUGUCUUUCCGUGUCUCAUCAAGGGUUCCUCUCUCCAACUGCAUUUUCAGGUGUCAAAUUGAAGCGAGUUUCUGCUUGGAAUCGAUGCUGCCGUAUCACUCUGCCACUGCUUUGGCUUUGAUGACUUCGAUGCUCACUGUUUCUUGCAGCACCGCUGCUUGGUUCCCCGAAGGACAAGACAAGACUAGAUGAAGAUCAAAGCACAAGAGGAAUUACUGGAUUAAUUUAUGAUUUUAAGCUUUUGAGCUAGGGUUAAUGUACUUUUAAUUUCUAAGAAGUGAUUGAAGAUAACAUAAAUCGAGGGUUAAUAUACUUUGUAGUCGCGCUCCAUACUUUUAAGGCUUUCAGUUGAAUGCGUCUCUAUAAAGACAAAUUGUGGUCUCCAACCUGCUGUAUUGGUUUCAAUACAUCAGUUCUAAGAUAGAGAAGCAAGGGCUACUGUGUUUUUAUUCCAUUUACUUUCAACGGCAACGUGAUUGUAAACUCAUGCAUUAGCCCAGAUUGCAUCUUUUCCGUUGUGAAGUUUCAAAUAUGUUGCUUUAAG